GUCCUCCACCUUGUCAAAAGAACAGUUCAAACACAUCAUUAAAAGCUCAAAAUUACCAUGACAUUAACGCCCACGAUGAGUGCAUGUAAACGU